rnacentral:rRNA from 1 species
GGGCCUUGUACACACCGCCCGUCAAGCCAUGGAAGCUGGGGGUGCCUGAAGUCGGUGACCGCAAGGAGCUGCCUAGGGUAAAACUGGUAACUAGGGCUAAGUCGUAACAAGGUAGCCGUACCGGAAGGUGCGGCUGGAACACCUCCUUUCUAGAGC